rnacentral:rRNA from 1 species
UACGUAGGGUGCAGGCGUUAAUCGGAAUUACUGGGCGUAAAGCGUGCGCAGGCGGUGCACCAAGCUCGAUGUGAAAGCCCCGGGCUUAACCUGGGAAUUGCAUUGAGGACUGGUGUGCUCGAGUGCGGCAGAGGGGGGUGGAAUUCCACGUGUAGCAGUGAAAUGCGUAGAGAUGUGGAGGAACACCGAUGGCGAAGGCAGCCCCCUGGGCCGACACUGACGCUCAUGCACGAAAGCGUGGGGAGCAAACAGG